CCUACGGGAGGCAGCAGUGGGGGAUAUUGCACAAUGGGGGAAACCCUGAUGCAGCGACGCCGCGUGAAGGAAGAAGGUCUUCGGAUUGUAAACUUUUGUCUUAUGGGACGAUAAUGACGGUACCAUAGGAGGAAGUCACGACUAACUACGUGCCAGCAGUCGCGGUAAUACGUAGGUGGCAAGCGUUAUCCGGAAUUAUUGGGUGUAAAGGGUGCGUAGGCGGGAUGUAAAGUCAGAUGUGAAAUGCCGCAGCUUAACUGCGGAGCUGCAUUUGAAACUUAUGUUCUUGAGUGAAGUAGAGGCAA
rnacentral:rRNA from 1 species